UUGUCUGCACACUGGUGACUUCUACCUAUUUUUCUGUAUAAGGGUUGGAGAAAUCUGAAUGUUCAGGUUGGAUCAGUAACCACUUAAUAGUUGCACAAUGCGCUCCAACUAUGCUUUGGUUGAAAAGCAUCUACUAAGCCACCCUUCCAAAAGGCAUUAAGGUUGCUAUUGCUUAUAUACAAAACCUGAACUAACUGUAGUUAACUAUUUCAAUUUUCUCACAUCUAACUAUUCAGAUGUUGUGAUUAUAGGCUAACCCUGUUUGUGACUUGUGAUUUGAUUUUUUAUUGACGACAUCUGAAUUAGUAAUACUUGCCCGAGCUUAUAAUUUAGUACUACUGGAAAUUCUAAUUCCUUUUCACCA